ACAUAUAUCAUUAAUAUACAAAAGGAACAACAGUGGCCCAAGGACUGAACCCUGGGGCACCCCACAAGUAAUCUUCAAAAACUCAGAAUUUGUCCCACCAAAGUGGACACACUGAUACCUACUGUCUAAGUAGCUCGCUAUCCAGUCAUGUGCCAAUUCCCC